CUUAUGUCCUCGCUGAUUCUUAAAUUUUUAGCAAUUUGGUGCCUUCUGAAAUUAUUGAUGUUUCUGCAGGAAUUAUCAAAGACAGUAGCUAAAUUAGCUGAAGAUGGCAAGGUUGCUAUAAGGAACAUAAGAAGAGAUGCAAUCAAAGCUUAUGAUAAACUAGAGAAGGAAAAGAAGCUUUCUGAGGACAACGUGAAAGAUUUAUCAGCUGAUCUACAA